GCGCCCAUCGUCUAGCGGUCAGGACGCAGGCCUCUCAAGCCUGAAACACGGGUUCGAGUCCCGUUGGGCGCACCA
rnacentral:tRNA from 1 species